UAGGGAAUCUUCCGCAAUGGACGCAAGUCUGACGGAGCAACGCCGCGUGAGUGAAGAAGGAUUUCGGUUCGUAAAACUCUGUUGUUAGAGAAGAACAGCGCAUAGAGUAACUGUUAUGCGUGUGACGGUAUCUAACCAGAAAGCCACGGCUAACUACGUGCCAGCAGCCGCGGUAAUACGUAGGUGGCAAGCGUUGUCCGGAUUUAUUGGGCGUAAAGCGAGCGCAGGCGGUCAAUUAAGUCUGAUGUGAAAGCCCCCGGCUCAACCGGGGAGGGUCAUUGGAAACUGGUUGACUUUAGUGCAGAAGAGGAGAGUGGAAUUCCAUGUGUAACGGUGAAAUGCGUAGAUAUAUGGAGGAACACCAGUGGCGAAGGCGACUCUCUGGUCUGUAACUGACGCUGAGGCUCGAAAGCGUGGGUAGCAAACAGG
rnacentral:rRNA from 1 species